GGAUAACCUACCCUUAGGACUGGGAUAACCUUGGGAAACUGAGGCUAAUACCGGAUAGGCAAUUUUUCCUGUAAUGGUUUUUUGUUUAAAUGUUUUUUCGCCUAAGGAUGGGUCUGCGGCCGAUUAGGUAGUUGGUUAGGUAAUGGCUUACCAAGCCGUUGAUCGGUACGGGUUGUGAGAGCAAGAGCCCGGAGAUGGAACCUGAGACAAGGUUCCAGGCCCUACGGGGUGCAGCAGGCGCGAAACCUCCGCAAUGUGAGAAAUCGCGACGGGGGGAUCCCAAGUGCCAUUCUUAACGGGAUGGCUUUUCAUUAGUGUAAAGAGCUUUUGGAAUAAGAGCUGGGCAAGACCGGUGCCAGCCGCCGCGGUAACACCGGCAGCUCUAGUGGUAGCAAUUUUUAUUGGGCCUAAAGCGUCCGUAGCCGGUUUAAUAGGUCUCUGGUGAAAUCCUGUAGCUUAACUGUGGGAAUUGCUGGAGAUACUAUUAGACUUGAGACCGGGAGAGGUUGGAGGUACUCCCAGGGUAGAGGUGAAAUUCUGUAAUCCUGGGAGGACCGCCUGUUGCGAAGGCGUCUAACUGGAACGGUUCUGACGGUGAGGGACGAAAGUUAGGGGCGCGAACCGGAUUAGAUACCCGGGUAGUCCUAACUGUAAACGAUGCGGACUUGGUGUUGGGGGUGGCUUUGAGCUGCUCCAGUGCCGAAGGGAAGCUGUUAAGUCCGCCGCCUGGGAAGUACGGUCGCAAGACUGAAACUU
rnacentral:rRNA from 1 species